UCGAACGCUGAAGCCCGCGCUUGCUUGGGUGGAUGAGUGGCGAACGGGUGAGUAACACGUGAGUAACCUGCCCCUGACUGUGGGAUAAGCCUGGGAAACUGGGUCUAAUACCGCAUAUGACACGCUCUUCGCAUGAGGGUGUGUGGAAAGUAUUUUUUCGGUUGGGGAUGGGCUCGCGGCCUAUCAGCUUGUUGGUGGGGUAAUGGCCUACCAAGGCGACGACGGGUAGCCGGCCUGAGAGGGCGACCGGCCACACUGGGACUGAGACACGGCCCAGACUCCUACGGGAGGCAGCAGUGGGGAAUAUUGCACAAUGGGGGAAACCCUGAUGCAGCGACGCCGCGUGAGGGAUGACGGCCUUCGGGUUGUAAACCUCUUUCAGCAGGGAAGAAGCCCCCUCGGGGGUGACGGUACCUGCAGAAGAAGUACCGGCUAACUACGUGCCAGCAGCCGCGGUAAUACGUAGGGUACAAGCGUUGUCCGGAAUUAUUGGGCGUAAAGAGCUCGUAGGCGGUUCGUCGCGUCUGCUGUGGAAACGCAAGGCUCAACCUUGCGCGUGCAGCGGGUACGGGCGUAACUAGAGUGCAGUAGGGGAGUCUGGAAUUCCUGGUGUAGCGGUGAAAUGCGCAGAUAUCAGGAGGAACACCGGUGGCGAAGGCGGGACUCUGGGCUGUUACUGACGCUGAGGAGCGAAAGCAUGGGGAGCGAACAGGAUUAGAUACCCUGGUAGUCCAUGCCGUAACGUUGGGCACUAGGUGUGGGGUACAUUCCACGAGUUCCGUGCCGCAGCUAACGCAUUAAGUGCCCCGCCUGGGAGUACUGCCGCAAGGCUAAAACUCAAAGGAAUUGACAGGGCCCGCACAAGCGGCGGAGCAUGCGGAUUAAUUCGAUGCACGCUAAGAACCUUACCAGGCUUGACAUACACUGGAAUGUGCCAAGAUGGUCAGCUCUUUUGAGCUGGUGUA
rnacentral:rRNA from 1 species